rnacentral:rRNA from 1 species
UACGGGGGGGGCAAGCGUUGUUCGGAAUUACUGGGCGUAAAGGGCGCGUAGGCGGUUUGCUAAGUUGGAUGUGAAAACUCUGGGCUUAACCCAGAGCCUGCAUUCAAUACUGGCAGGCUAGAGUUCUGGAGGGGAUAGCGGAAUUCCUGGUGUAGCGGUGAAAUGCGUAGAUAUCAGGAGGAACACCAAUGGCGAAGGCAGCUCGCUGGAACGGUACUGACGCUGAGGCGCGAAAGCGUGGGGAGCGAACAGG